rnacentral:lncRNA from 1 species
UUGGUCUUCUUUUGUGAUAUUUCUGGAUCAGUGUUGCAUUUGCAAUGGUGUAGGUCUGCAAUCAACUAGCAUCUACUUUUACUUCCAAGAAAAGCUAAGGUCAUUUAGUUGAGCUCUUUUAUACCUAGUCCUCCUUCAUAUUCAAUUUUUUCCAAAGAUUAAGGAGGACUAUACAAAAAAGCAGAAAAUCUAGCUUAGAAGAUUUAUAUUUAGGAUUAAAAGUUAACAGGUGAGAA